rnacentral:lncRNA from 1 species
CGGGCUUAAUUUUUAUGCUUAGAUGAUAAAUUUGGUAUUAGUGUUAUGGCUUAGAACAAUUAAGAAUUUAACUAAACAAUUGAAAAGUAGAAAUUGGAGAAUAAUAGUAGCUCUUUAUUCAAUAUCAAUGGAAACGAUUACACCAUUGUUACAUAUAACCUGUGAGAAGGAGAAGAAAAUAGAUCUAGAAGAGAUAAGGUCAUUCUCGAAGAGGUGGGGAAAUGAUGCUUAAUGUAUCCCCAAUCUUCCCAUGUUGCAUUCUCCUCUAGAAGAUUUGCCCACUGAACUAGCACUUUGACUCCCACUCCGUUGUCAAUCUUCACCAUUUUUCACUGUAAGAUGGCCACUGGUUGGAUCAGUACUUGACCGUCUGCAUCACACACUCGUGGAUGAAGCCGAGGCUCAAUAGCUGGACCGAUUCUUUUCUUAAGAUGAGGGACGUGGAAGACUGGGUGAAGUUGAGAGCCUCUAGGAAGCUCCAAGAGGUAAUCUACUGACCCCAUUUUCCUCAAGAUCUUGUAGGGCCCCAUAAUAGGAAGCACACAAUUUUACAUUCAUGCGAACCUCAAUAGAUGAUUGUCUAUAUGGUUGAAGCUUAAGAUAGACUUGAUCCCCGACCUCUAGUGUUCCUUCAAACCUGGAUCUAUCUGCAAAAAAUUUCAUGCAUAACUGUGCUUUAACUAGGUUGUCCUUCAGUGUCUGCAUCAAGUGUUGUCGUUGGGCUAAGAUCACACCUGGCAUAGUCUAUCCAGCAUGAGGCAAUAAACCUAAUGGUAGCUGGGGUGGUUCAUACCGAUAUAAGGCUUCAAAAGGGAUGACCUUUAAGGCAAUGUGGUAGUUGAUGCUGUACCACUCUGCCAUGUAAAGCCACUUAACCCAAUGUUUAAGAUUGUCAAAAAUCAUAGUCGUGAGAUACGUUUCCAUACACCUGUUGAGUCUCUAUGUUUGGCCAUCACUCUGAGGGUGGUAAGCUGAACUCAGGUUAAGCUUGGUCCCCAUAGAUCUAAAUAGAUGCUGUCAAAAGUGGAUGGUGAAAACUGGGUCCCUAACUGAAACUAUGAAACUAUGGACCUGGGGAGACCAUACAAUUUAUAAAUCUCCCUAAGGAACAUAUCUGCUACAUCUUGUUGUAAAAAGAUGCUUAAGGGGCAAGAAAUGGCCAUACUUAGUGAACCUGUCAACUACCACUAAGAGUGCAUUCGUAUGGUUUCAAAUAGGUAAUCCUUUUACAAAAUCCGUGGAGAUGUCUUCCCAUGGUUUUUCAAGAAUAAGGAGAGGUCGUAGUAACCCAAGAUAGCGAACAUGUCUUGAUUUCACCCUUUGACAUAUGUCACAAUCACUAACCCUUCUACAACUGUCCGACUUCAUGUUUGGCUAAUAAAAGAUCAUUUGCAACCUCUUACAAGUGUCAUGUUGUCCUUAGUAACCUCCCAGUGGUGACUGAUGCAAAGCUUUUCACACCUUUCUUCUCAAUGUAUUACCCAUUCCUUUAUACAUCUUCAGCUUGUACCUGAUUAUCCCCUACUGUAAUGUGUAGUUAGAAUUCUCCUGAACUAUUGUUAUUAACGUAGCCGGUAGAUGAAUAGGCAUAGGGUUAUCUUCAUAGGAUUGGCUCACUUCUUCUAACCCAGCAGGAUCAUAACCCUUCUACAACUGUCCGACUUCAUGUUUGGCUAAUAAAAGAUCAUUUGCAACCUCUUAUAAGUGUCAUGUUGUCCUUAGUAACCUCCCAGUGGUGACUGAUGCAAAGCUUCCCACACCUUUCUUCUCAAUGUAUUACCCAUUCCUUUAUACAUCUUCAGCUUGUACCUGAUUAUCCCCUACUGUAAUGUGUAGUUAGAAUUCUCCUGAACUAUUGUUAUUAACGUAGCCGGUAGAUGAAUAGGCAUAGGGUUAUCUUCAUAGGAUUGGCUCACUUCUUCUAACCCAGCAGGAUCAUUUUUUCCUUGCCUCAUGGAAAAGGGCAUUAGCUGCUCUAUUUCAGAUCCUUUUUAAUAAAAAAUUUCAUAGUCAAGACACAAGAGCUUAGUGAGGCCCUUCUGUUGUAGUACUAUGGUGAUCUUAUGCUCCAAUAGAUAUUUUAAGCUCUGAUGAUCUACUCUCACAAUGAAAUUGCCACAUUAUAAGUAAUGUCUCCAUUUGUCCACUAUAGUUAGAACUGCCAUGUACUCCUUUUCAUAGGUGGAUAACCCCCUAUUCUUGACUGCCAAUGCCUUUCUUAGAUAAUCUAUGGGCCGAUCAUCCUUCAUUAGAACAGUCCCCAUACAUGUAGAGCAUGCAUAAAUCUCUACAAUAAAAUGUUCGGUAAAAUCUAGCAAGGCCAGCAUAGGUACUAUGGACAUGGACUUCUUCAGCUUCUGAAAAGCCUCUUGUGCCUCCUCAUUCCACCGGAAAGAAUUCUUUUCAAGUUGGUUGGUCAAAAGUGUACUAAUGAUGGUAUAAGACUUCACAAACCUUCUGUAAUGGUCUAUGAGGAAAAGAAAUUCCCUGAGUGACUUGAUUGACCUAGGAACAGGACAAUUAAUCAUAGAAUCUAUCUUGGCAUGAUCAGUAGCUAGCCCUUUACUAGAAAUAAUAUGGCCUAAAUACUCCACCCUGUCUUUUCCAAUAACACACUUUGACAACUUAGCAUAUAGUUUUUCCUUCUGUAGCAAUUAUAACACUUGUUUGAGAUGUUCUGCAUGACUUUCCACUGACGGGCUAUAGACUAGUAUGUCAUCAAAGAAUACAGGUACAAAUUCCCUUAGGAAAGGCUUGAAAACAUGGUUCAUUAGGUUCUGAAAAGUUGUAGGAGCAUUGGUCAACCAAAUGAUAUGACUCAAAACUCAUAAUACCUAAAUGAGCCCUAAAUGCAGUCUUAUAGAUGUCAUACCUCUCCAUCCUAAUUUGGUAAUAUCCAGCCCUCAAAUUAAUUUUGGAAUUUAUGUAAGAUCCAUUCAGUUCAUCCAUCAAAUCAACUACCAAGGGAAUAGGAAAUUUAUCCUUGAUGGUCAUCUUGUUUAAUUCUCUAUAGUCAAUGCAAAACCUCUAACUCCCAUCAUUCUUUUUCACUAACAAAAUAGGCUGAGAGGAGGGAGAAUGACUGGUUGGAUAAUCCCACUACUCAGCAUUUCAUUAACUUGCUUCUCCAUUUCAUUUUUUUGGAAAUGAUUGUACCUAUAAGGCCUAAUACUUACGACUAACUAUUUUUUAGGGGAAUAGUAUGAUCAUGGCUUCUCUGUGGUGGCAAGGAUUUUGGCUCCUCAAACACAUCAGGGAACUCUUCAAGUAUUACACUGAUUUUGUCAAGUAUGGAUACUUGUAAUUCAACAGUCCUGGCUGUAAUUGUGAAUAUGUGAGCGCACAAUACUUGGCUUUUCCUGAGAAAUUGUUAUAACUCCACUAGCUGUCAUGCUUUGUAGUUUGCCUUCGUCAGAGUACCCCUUAAGGUCCACCCUUUUCCCCUUCACACUCACCUGCAACCUAUACCCAAUAAAAUCAAAUAGAAUGGGGUUAUGUUUCCUCAUCCAAUCUACUCCUAAGACAACAUCACACCUUCCAAUAUCCAGCAGUCUUAGUUUGUGUUCAAAAUCUAUACCAUGAGUUUUCUGGCUGAACUGGGGACAAAAAUUGGAAACUCAUUAGGUAACCUCCAUUAGCCACAACCACUCUCAUAGGUGAAUCACCUUUAGCCAUGCAACCUAAAUUUUUAGCAGUCUCACUAGUUAUGAAACUGUUGGUACUCCAAUUGUCUGCUAAAAUAGUCAAUAUCUUUUUCCCAUACAAUCCUUUUAGUUUUAUAGUAGUGGAUGUUAUGGCACUAGAUAUGGCAUUGACGUUGAUGGCCUCAUCAAAUACUUCUUCUGAACUCUCAAUAGGUAUAGCUUCCGUCUCUGCAUCCAAUUUAAGCAUUUCUUCCUCUUGUUCAGUACUUCCAGAUAGUGUGUUCAAUUGUCUGUUCUUGCACACAGGAAAGUAGUUUUCCCCACAUUUGUAGCACUCACUCCGUACCUUCUUGGAUUCAAACAAGUUGCAACCGGACAUGGCUGUAUUAGAAGUACCCUCUUUCUAUAGGUUUCCCCAGGGUCUAUUCCCUACUACCAAAUUGGAUCCUUGGUACUGCCCUGCACUUCUAACUCCAUUGAAUAUGUUCUUCUUAGCCAUAGUAUCAAUAAAGUUCUCCUUGUGUCUAGCCUUUUCUAUAAUAUGACUUAAGGAAUAGGGAUCAAGCAUCUUCGUAGUGCGCCUAAUCUCCUCUUUAAUCCUUCAAUGAAGAACCCUAAGAAAUAUUCUUCAUGAAUAGUUGGAUAUUUUAUCAACACCCAUGCCUUCAAAUCCUCAAAUCCCUCCACAUAUUCAUUAGCAGCCCCAUUAUGUUCCCUUUCUUUUAAUUCCCCUAACAAUUUAAGAUUACUAUUGUCAGACUCGUUAAAUCUUUUGCAAAUUUCCUCAAUAAAAUCUGACCAUUUCACAAUUCCCCUAUUCAAUUAAUAAGAGAAGUAUCAAGACUCAGACCUUCCAUUUAAAUGAAGAACAAUUGAUUCUAAUUAUUGUUGUGGGUCAGUAAUAUAAUUGUAAUGGAAAUACCUUUCCCAUUUGUGCAGCCAAGAUCGAGGACCUCCUUCCUCAAAGUAAGGGAACUCCACUCUAGAAACAAAGUUGUUCAUUAGAUUUCUUACGGUAUAGCUCAUGUGGGUCAGUCAUUCUCACUCUGUUACCAGACCCAUUCUACAUGAAGACCUUCAGUCGAUGCACUUCCCAGGGUGCCAUCUCUGUUCCCGAAGAUCUUCUAUAUCAUCAUAUUAAAUUUUCGAUUCAGCUCAUCCCUUUUCGAUUCAUUGGACUCUAAUUUUUUGUUUUUUCAAUCAUGUAAUUCUGUAACUAAUUUUCUAGCUUCUAGACAUUUUCUUCAGUGGCUUUAGCUCGAGUUUCUGUAAUUGUAAUGGUGCCAUGAGGAAGCUCAGAUACCAAAUUGUUAUGGCUUAGAACAAUUAAGCAAUUAACUAAACAAUUGAAAAGUAGAAUGGGAAAACAAUAGAUCUUUAUGUAAUAUCAAUGGAAACACACCAUUGUUACAUGUAACGGUUGUAACCUGUGAGAAGGAGAAGAAACAGAACUAGAAGAAUUGGAAAUGAAGAUUCGAGAAGAGAGAGAAUGGGAGAGAAGGUUAUUAGGGAAGUAAU